GACCCUGUUGAGCUUGACUCUA
rnacentral:ncRNA from 3 species